rnacentral:rRNA from 1 species
UACGAAGGGGGCUAGCGUUGCUCGGAAUCACUGGGCGUAAAGGGUGCGUAGGCGGGUCUUUAAGUCAGGGGUGAAAUCCUGGAGCUCAACUCCAGAACUGCCUUUAAUACUGAGGAUCUUGAGUUCGGGAGAGGUGAGUGGAACUGCGAGUGUAGAGGUGAAAUUCGUAGAUAUUCGCAAGAACACCAGUGGCGAAGGCGGCUCACUGGCCCGAUACUGACGCUGAGGCACGAAAGCGUGGGGAGCAAACAGG